rnacentral:rRNA from 1 species
GACGAACGCUGGCGGCGUGCCUAACACAUGCAAGUCGAGCGAUGAAGUUUCUUUCGGGAAAUGGAUUAGCGGCGGACGGGUGAGUAACACGUGGGUAACCUGCCUCAUAGAGGGGAAUAGCCUCCCGAAAGGGAGAUUAAUACCGCAUAAUAUUACAGUUUCGCAUGAAACAGUAAUUAAAGGAGUAAUCCGCUAUGAGAUGGACCCGCGGCGCAUUAGCUAGUUGGUGAGGUAACGGCUCACCAAGGCGACGAUGCGUAGCCGCACCUGAGAGGGUGAUCGGCCACAUUGGGACUGAGACACGGCCCAGACUCCUACGGGAGGCAGCAGUGGGGAAUAUUGCACAAUGGGGGAAACCCUGAUGCAGCAACGCCGCGUGAGUGAUGACGGUCUUCGGAUUGUAAAGCUCUGUCUUUGGGGACGAUAAUGACGGUACCCAAGGAGGAAGCCACGGCUAACUACGUGCCAGCAGCAGCCGCCGUAA